UUUAAGAGAAUUUAUAACAUGUUUGAAUGAAUUUUUGGUUGGAUCCAAUGUUAAACCGCCUUAGAAAACUCAAGAACAGAUAUUUUUCUGGUGUAGUUUGCUAAGCGAACAGGAGCUUCGCUUAGCGAAUAGCUCGCCACCAGCUCGCUACCUGUUCGCCAUGCACCUGUAAUCCUCUGACGUAGUUCGCUGCAGCGAACUGAGCUUCGCUUAGCGAAUAGUUCGCUACCUGUUCGCUACUGCUUCGCUUAGCGAACAGUACUGAACCUGCAACUUUUUGUUAAUGGUUGUAAGUGUAAUUAGGCACUUGUAACAUGGUUUUAGGGUAUCCUUACAUGAUUGUUGAUACAUGUUGAUACUGUUAAUGCUUAUUGUUAAUCGUGAUAUGAUUGAUAAACGUGUAUGCAAUAAGUUGUAGUU
rnacentral:lncRNA from 1 species